rnacentral:rRNA from 1 species
AUUGAACGCUGGCGGCAGGCCUAACACAUGCAAGUCGAGCGGGGACUUCGGUCCUAGCGGCGAACGGGUGAGUAAUGCUUGGGAAUCUGCCCAGUAGUGGGGGAUAACGUCCCGAAAGGGACGCUAAUACCGCAUACGUCCUACGGGAGAAAGAGGGGGAUCUUCGGACCUCUCGCUAUUGGAUGAGCCCAAGUCGGAUUAGCUAGUUGGUAGGGUAAUGGCCUACCAAGGCGACGAUCCGUAGCUGGUCUGAGAGGAUGAUCAGCCACACUGGAACUGAGACACGGUCCAGACUCCUACGGGAGGCAGCAGUGGGGAAUAUUGGACAAUGGGCGAAAGCCUGAUCCAGCCAUGCCGCGUGUGUGAAGAAGGCCUUCGGGUUGUAAAGCACUUUAAGCGGGGAGGAAGGUUCGCGGCCUAAGACGUCGCGGAAUUGACGUUACCCGCAGAAUAAGCACCGGCUAACUCUGU